rnacentral:tRNA from 1 species
GGGAGUGUGGUGAAAGUGGUAAACACGUCUGAUUUAGGAUCAGGUUUAUGCGGGUUCAAAUCCUGUCGCUCUUA